rfam:Picea glauca, whole genome shotgun sequence.
UAAAACAAAGCAUCGUGAUGGUCCCUGCGGAUGCUAACACAAUGUGAUUUAUGCCCAGUGCUCUGCAUGUCAAAGUGAAGAAAUUCACCAAGUGCGGGUAAAUGAUGGGAGUAACUAUGACUCUCUUAAGGUAGCCAUAUGCCUCAUCAUCUAAUUAGUGACACACUUGAAUGGAUUAAGAGAUUCUCGCUAUCCCAGGCUACCAUCUAGAGAAACAACAACCAAGGGAACGAGCUUGGAAAAAUUAGCAGGGAAAGAAGACCCUGUUGAGCUUGACUCUUGUCCAACUUUGUGAAAUGACUUGAGAGGUGUAGAAAAACUGGGAUUUGCUUUCAUCGCAAGUGAAAUACCACUACUUUUAACAUUAUUUUACUUAUUUUGUGGGGGGAAGAUGAGGCAUUGCACAUAUAUUAAAAGAUAGUGCACAUUUCCUCAAAAUGUUGUCAUUGAUGGCAAUGGUCGAAAGCUCAUUCUUCACACACUUGAUGGAAAUGAGUUUAGGAAACCAAAUAUGAUCAUUACUUUUAAGGAUUAAGAAAGUUCAUAUAACAAUCCCUAUGUUUUUAGCCAACAUCCCCCUAUAAGUAUCUAUAUUAUGGUCCCUCCUUGU